UCCCCCGUGGCGCAAUUGGCUAGCGCGUUCGGCUGUUACCAACACCUGUUGAGAGCCAACCGGAAGGCUGGUGGUUCGAGCCCACCCGGGGGAG